AGUGAACGCUGGCGGUAGGCCUAACACAUGCAAGUCGAACGGCAGCACAGUAAGAGCUUGCUCUUACGGGUGGCGAGUGGCGGACGGGUGAGGAAUACAUCGGAAUCUACUUUUUCGUGGGGGAUAACGUAGGGAAACUUACGCUAAUACCGCAUACGACCUACGGGUGAAAGCAGGGGAUCUUCGGACCUUGCGUGAUUGAAUGAGCCGAUGUCGGAUUAGCUAGUUGGCGGGGUAAAGGCCCACCAAGGCGACGAUCCGUAGCUGGUCUGAGAGGAUGAUCAGCCACACUGGAACUGAGACACGGUCCAGACUCCUACGGGAGGCAGCAGUGGGGAAUAUUAGACAAUGGGCGCAAGCCUGAUCCAGCCAUACCGCGUGGGUGAAGAAGGCCUUCGGGUUGUAAAGCCCUUUUGUUGGGAAAGAAAAGCAGCAGGUUAAUCCCCCGCUGUUCUGACGGUACCCAAAGAAUAAGCACCGGCUAACUUCGUG
rnacentral:rRNA from 1 species